rnacentral:rRNA from 1 species
UACGUAGGUGGCAAGCGUUGUCCGGAUUUAUUGGGCGUAAAGCGAGCGCAGGCGGUUACUUAAGUUUGAUGUGAAAGCCCCCGGCUCAACCGGGGAGGGGCAUUUGAGACUGGUGAACUUGAGUGUAGAAGAGGAGAGUGGAAUUCCAUGUGUAGCGGUGAAAUGCGUAGAGAUAUGGAGGAACACCAGUGGCGAAGGCGACUCUCUGGUCUGUAACUGACGCUGAGGCUCGAAAGCGUGGGUAGCAAACAGG